rnacentral:rRNA from 1 species
AUUGAACGCUGGCGGAAUGCUUUACACAUGCAAGUCGAACGGCAGCACGGACUUCGGUCUGGUGGCGAGUGGCGAACGGGUGAGUAAUGCAUCGGAACGUGCCCAAUCGUGGGGGAUAACGUAGCGAAAGUUACGCUAAUACCGCAUACGAUCUAAGGAUGAAAGCGGGGGAUCGCAAGACCUCGCGCGAAUGGAGCGGCCGAUGUUAGAUUAGGUAGUUGGUGGGGUAAAGGCUCACCAAGCCGACGAUCUAUAGCUGGUCUGAGAGGAUGAUCAGCCACACUGGGACUGAGACACGGCCCAGACUCCUACGGGAGGCAGCAGUGGGGAAUUUUGGACAAUGGGCGCAAGCCUGAUCCAGCCAUUCCGCGUGCAGGAUGAAGGCCCUCGGGUUGUAAACUGCUUUUGUACAGAACGAAAAGCUCUGGGUUAAUACCCUGGGGUCAUGACGGUACUGUAAGAAUAAGCACCGGCUAACUACGUGCCAGCAGCCGCGGUAA